rnacentral:misc_RNA from 1 species
UAUCUAGAGGGACAGCGUUGAUUGGGCGUGCAAUUUGUUCGGAACAUCAUGUGUACCGAGAGAGUGCAAAACGAGACCUAGGCUGGAUCGGAUGAAAACACCUGCGAAAAAGACUCAUCGUUGAACAAUGUGGGCACGUGUAGAAAUACAGAGACAGCCAGCAUGAGUUUGUAAUUUUCCUUCUUGUCUCCAUGGGUAGCUAACUUCCUACAGAGCGACGCCGGGGACGUCGGCAUCGGGCGCUUUGAGGCCUUGUAAAUAACGAAGCUGAACGAGGUAAUUUUCUUCUGGCUAAAAACAUGUUGUUCCUGAAAAUGAACGCCGCGCCAGGUGUGUCGCUAUUUCGGGCAACAGGAAAAUUACACGACAAAGGAAGAAAUGAGGAACGACCGCGUGGCUUUCCAACUGACAGUCGAUGUGACCGACACCCAGCCAUCGCCAGCGCCUGCAGAAUAAGAUUUCGCUUACUCAGGAGCCAGUGUCAAGGUGUAUUCGCCUGUAGUCGGCUCACGCAUACAACGCUCCUCGGCUGCCAACUCAUUGCUCAGGUUCUGGUUUUACAGCUGAAAACGCGUCGCAGCGCCUCAUCUCAAUCUGUACAUUUUAUUACCCAAUGACGACCACGCGAUGGACAAAGAUACUCCUGGUUCACCGCUGCUGCAGAGGUAUAUCUAUCUGUCUCUCGUCUCGAGAAUCACGGCCUAUACAUAACACGUAAGCCAAAGAACUGUAUGCUCUCCUAAAUAUAACUGCUGUUUGCUCUGGCUUUGAAUAGAGACCCCGAGAGAUGCUGAGCCAAGAAAAUAAAAAAAUUUUCAUCGAUAGUUCAGGUCGGAAUGGAUUAUUAUUACAUAUUAUUGAGCAUCUCAUUUGUGUGGUUCUGAAUUGUCGGGCUCGCAUUGAAUCGGAAUUUGAAUUCCACAUAAAACGCGUUAUUACUAAACGAAUUAAGCGGAUCUCGAAAAGGAAUUUCAUCGUUGGCGUGCGUGUUUCAACUAAACUUCCAUGGAUCUGUGUGACUUCCAGAACCGUGUUUUGAAGCACUUCGGUUAAAACUCGUAGUUAACAUAGGUGUGAUAAACCGCACAACACACAUAGGUGCUGUAAACGGUGGUUCGCGAUUGUCCCCCAUAGAUAAUCUUAUUAUACUCUCUCUCAUUAUCGCAAUUAUUGCGGCAUGAUCCACCUGACGGUUGCGGGUCGAUGCGUAGUAUAGUACGCGUACAGCUCUUUAAAAGGUAAACAUGAUCGUCUAAUGCUGAAAACUUGUACGCUCUGUAGAAUGAUGAUAACCAGAACGAGCAAUAUAAUUUUUCCAUAAAACUGGUUUAUGAUCGCCGGUGUUUACUCACAAACGAAUAUUUUUCCCCAAGAUAUAAUGAAAAAACAAAAAAAAAUCGAUUCGCCGAUGUAAAGCAAAUCGACAGUAUGAAAUUUGAUGGGACCGGUCGGUGUCGUUAAAUGACAUUCGAAUGUUGCUAGUUAUUUUGCUUCAUUUCUGGAUAUUUCUCAUUACUUGCGCCCGAAACAAUCAGAGUACGAUAUUCUGCAUACCAUUCGGUAUGAUAGCGAUAUUUUUUUUUAAAGUCUGAAAUAAUUUUUCCACUGACCUUCAA